CACAAGCGGUGGAGUAUGUGGUUUAAUUCGAUGCAACGCGAAGAACCUUACCUGGUCUUGACAUCCCGGAGACCCUUAGGAAACUAGGGGUGCUUCCAUCUGGAAGAAUCUGGAGACAGGUGCUGCGUGGCUGUCGUCCGCUCGUGUCGUGAGAUGUUGGGUUAAGUCCCGCAACGAGCGCAACCCUUGCCUUUAGUUGCCAGCAGUUCGGCUGGGCACUCUAAAGGGACUGCCGGUGUUAAACCGGAGGAAGGUGGGGAUGACGUCAAGUCCUCAUGGCCUUUAUGACCAGGGCUACACACGUACUACAAUGGCCGAUACAAAGGGCAGCGACACUGCGAGGUGAAGCCAAUCCCGUAAAAUCGGUCUCAGUCCGGAUUGGAGUCUGCAACUCGACUCCAUGAAGUUGGAAUCGCUAGUAAUCGUGGAUCAGCAUGCCACGGUGAAUACGUUCCCGGGCCUU
rnacentral:rRNA from 1 species